rnacentral:rRNA from 1 species
AGAGUUUGAUCCUGGCUCAGAUUGAACGCUGGCGGUAUGCUUAACACAUGCAAGUCGAACGGAAACGAAACUAGCUUGCUAGUAGGCGUCGAGUGGCGGACGGGUGAGUAACGCGUAGGAAUCUGCCUGAUAGUGGGGGAUAGCCCGAAGAAAUUCGGAUUAAUACCGCAUAAUCUAUUCGUAGUAAAGUGGGGGACUUUCGAGCCUCACGCUAUCAGAUGAGCCUGCGUAGGAUUAGCUUGUUGGUAGGGUAAAAGCCUACCAAGGCAACGAUCUUUAGCUGGUCUGAGAGGAUGAUCAGCCACAUCGGGACUGAGACACGGCCCGAACUCCUACGGGAGGCAGCAGUGGGGAAUAUUGGACAAUGGGGGCAACCCUGAUCCAGCAAUACCGCGUGUGUGAAGAAGGCCUGAGGGUUGUAAAGCACUUUCAAUUGUGAAGAAAAGUUAACGGUUAAUAACCGUUGACCUUGACGUUAACUUUAGAAGAAGCACCGGCUAACUCCGUGCCAGCAGCCGCGGUAAUACGGAGGGUGCAAGCGUUAAUCGGAAUUACUGGGCGUAAAGCGUGCGUAGGCGGUUUAUUAAGUCAGAUGUGAAAGCCCCGGGCUUAACCUGGGAACUGCAUUUGAAACUGGUCAACUAGAGUAUGGUAGAGGAAAGUGGAAUUUCUGGUGUAGCGGUGAAAUGCGUAGAUAUCAGAAGGAACAUCAAUGGCGAAGGCAGCUUUCUGGACCAAUACUGACGCUGAGGUACGAAAGCGUGGGUAGCAAACAGGAUUAGAUACCCUGGUAGUCCACGCCGUAAACGAUGAUAACUAGCCGUUGGGGGGAUUUACCCCUUAGUGGCGAAGCUAACGCGUUAAGUUAUCCGCCUGGGGAGUACGGCCGCAAGGCUAAAACUCAAAGGAAUUGACGGGGACCCGCACAAGCGGUGGAGCAUGUGGUUUAAUUCGAUGCAACGCGAAGAACCUUACCUGGUCUUGACAUCCUGCGAACUUUCUAGAAAUAGAUUGGUGCCUUCGGGAACGCAGUGACAGGUGCUGCAUGGCUGUCGUCAGCUCGUGUCGUGAGAUGUUGGGUUAAGUCCCGUAACGAGCGCAACCCCUAUCCUUAUUUGCCAGCACAUUAUGGUGGGAACUAUAAGGAGACUGCCGGUGAUAAACCGGAGGAAGGCGGGGACGACGUCAAGUCAUCAUGGCCCUUACGACCAGGGCUACACACGUGCUACAAUGGGAAGGACAAAGAGCCGCGAAGCCGCGAGGUGUAGCUAAUCUCAUAAAUCUUUUCGUAGUCCGGAUUGGAGUCUGCAACUCGACUCCAUGAAGUCGGAAUCGCUAGUAAUCGUAGAUCAGAAUGCUACGGUGAAUACGUUCCCGGGUCUUGUACACACCGCCCGUCAUACCAUGGGAGUGGGUUGCACCAGAAGUGGCUAGUCUAACUUUGUGAGGACGGUCACCACGGUGUGAUUCAUGACUGGGGUAAAGUCGUAACAAGGUAACC